GUUAGACUAGUCAUUUACACCCCAACCUAGGAGUAGCCAUAGCUCAAGAACUGCCAAUUAUGGUUCCUGAACUACCAGUUUAGGUUCAAUGAAAUCAUGAACUUAAAUCAAAUUGUUAUGGGACGGUCUGGAGGAUGGUUCCUAAACCACCAAUUCUGGUUCAAGUCCUGAUUUAAAACGGUUUGAAGGGCAGUUUGAAAAAAAAAGGUUUAAAACGGUUUAUAGGACGGUUUAGGAGUAGUUUAAGGGUGAC
rnacentral:misc_RNA from 1 species